GAAUAACGGAAAAGAGAAAAUUUAUCUGGCAAAGGACUCAGGAGUUUAUCUGGACCACUCCCGUAUCUCCAGGGAGGAUUCACUUCUACUUCAGAUCUGAUACAGCUAUGAAAAGAGAAGAAAUCAGUGUGGCCAAUUGCAUGUGCUGACAGCAUCACCUCACAGGAGUACCCUACUGCAGCAAUGUCUGCUGUGCUGUCAUCUUCCACACCUCAGCACUGAGAUGGAAAUGAUUGAUGGUAACAUUGACAAUAUACAAAAGGAAAGCCAUACACAGCUUUGUGAAACAGAAAGAGGUGGAAGAGAAGGAGUCACUGCACUUUUGUACCCAGGAAUGACCUUUGGGAGUCCAACUCCUUUUCACUGCACAGAGCAGAGUCAACUGCCUAGAACUGAUUGCCACUACAAGGGCAAUGAACAUGCUGGUGGAAAGGUCUUUGCUUUAACAUUGCUGCUGAAGCCACACAUCAGUUAUGAAGAUGAAAGACGAGACUCUGUUGCUUCAUGUUGAUAAAGCAAUUGAGACUGACAUGAAAAAUGUGUCAUGAAAAAUGCCAAGAUAUGGGGCAUAUUCUGCCUUUCCAUUCCCUUCUCCCAGUCUUCCUAAAAUGCUCAGUGCAAAGAAAAAAGCAUCAAGGUGUUAAGUGACUUGGUAUAUUUUUGUAUUUAUACCAUCUAGUAAACGAAAUUGCUGAAAAAUGUCACGGUGUGAUCUUCAUGCGUGUGUGGGAGACAAUAUCUCAGCUGUCAGGGAAUGACUGUACAGCUCCCUGCUGGAAAGAAGAAGUCAAACAUUUCACAGACUUUUAUAGGCUGGUGGGAUCUCUGCUAAACACUUGGGAUAUCCAGACUUGAUUGCUUCCAGGAAGAUAUCUGCUGAUUCAUCCUGGCAGUACCCACUCUCAAGCUGAGCUCUCCCCAGAUCCCAAUCAGCAGAAAGUCUUUCAACCACAGUGCUGACGCCAGCUCAGAGAAUUCUGCCUUGAAAUCCUUGGGAAAGCCGGUGGGCAAAAAGUCAUCAUCAAACCUCAGUCAGCUUUUGAAGUAGAAGAAACAACCCCCAUGCCCAGAGCCUUCUGGAAGGACUGUUCUGUCAGUGCACUUGUGAUGUUUUUGCUGCUAUUGAUUAAAGCUCUUUGUUCCUUUGCUUCCCUUCCCCUUUCCACACCCGAAUUGCCACCACGGGUGGAGGUGCUGGAUGACAGGUGUUCUCUCUGUGCACACACUGGAAAUGGAUGCUACUGGAGACACAUGAAGGAAAGAGAAGGGGGAACCAUUCAGAGCUAUCAGCAAACCUACCUGGAGUCCAGGAAGAUUUCCCUCAGAUCUACCUAAAAGAGUGAGGGACAGAGAAGGACAGAGAGGGGGUGAGAGAGUUUCGUCUCUUUUUUUCGAUGUGGUUCAGGAUCUUUGAGAGCAGUAAGAAAUGUACAGGCUUAGAAUUCCCCUGUAAACUCCAAAAUAAUUUACAGAACACUAAGUCAUGCAAUAGUCUGUGUCGACAGCUGGUGGGUAAGAGCAGAUCAGGUUUGUUCUUUCAAGCAGCAGUGCCCUUUGCCUUACUGAGGCACACUGUAAUUAAGGCCCUGCGUAGGGCCAGGUUCACUAGCACGAUAAAGAGGAGUUAUUUUUGUAUGUGAAUUCAAAUGAACAAAUGCAACUUCUAACCAUUAACCUCUUGAAGUAGAUAACAAGUGGGUUUAGGGAUAAUUACUGAUUUUCAUAGUUUCUAGGAAAGCUUUAUCAGGACCCUUAUGUUUUGAAAACUCUGACACGUCGCGUGAUCCAGGACGUCAGUGUCUAAAAAGGCAAUGAGUGCAUUACGACAGCCCCCUCAUCCCAGAGCCAGCUCCCCUGCCUUUCUGUGUGUGCAGAGGAGAUGCUGAGAAGCCUAGGGAGCCAGUUCCCAAGUCUCCUCCCUCCCUUGCUCGUACAUAGGCAACCACAUUUCAGUAGAGCUGAGUACUUUGGGUGGAUCGCUCAGUUUGCAGGUUCAGAGACUGAUUCCAGCAAGAACUGGAGUUUGCAAGACUCACUGAGAAAACUUGCUCCUCACCUCUCCUCCAGAGGUACAUGAAGUCUAGCAUGAGAAAGGACAGCUGGAGAGGCAGGGAAGACGCUGGGCUAAGGAUCCAUCCUGCUUCUGACAGCCCAGAAACAAGAGGAACCUGUUACCAGCAUGGACAUCGGGAGCCUACUCUGCUGAGUGAGCUCCUGCACAGCUCCACAGACCAGGAUCCACCUCCACAGCCGUGCCCUGAUGCAACACAGUCCUUUGUGCUGAUCCAACAGCCAACAUUUUGGUGAAUAAACCAGGGAUUAAACCCACCAUUUCCAGAAGUUACAAACUCAGCUGCAAAAGCCACAGCUCUGUAGCAGUGGGUUACAACUCCUGCCGUGGCCAGCACAUCACUCCCUGCU